AGAGAUGCCCUGAAGAUUGAAGCGGCACCGGCGCUGCUCGUUGAAAUUCCUUAACUCAAUCGAAGGCAAUCUAGCGCCAAGGUCUCUGAAAUCUGGACGCUCAUAUAGUUGCGAAGCCGAUAGGCACGAAGACAUAACUGUUUUGUGUGCAGGAAUUGAAGAGGAUUGAGCGUGUUUGUGUGAGAAUGUUGCGAAGUGAAAUUGUUUGUGUCCUUGAACCUCAGCUUCUGAAUCCUCUGUUGUUGCCUUGCCGAAGGAAAUAGGUAUUUGAUUAGCUUCUUGGAUUGAUUUAGUGCUGCGAGAGCCCCGCAGCACGAUUCAUCUUUGGUGUGGCAUUCAUCUUCGGAUAGCUUGUCAAGGCUUUUGAACCACAGGGUCUGUGUGAAUAAAAAUCGCGACAAUCCCAUUCAGAGUACCGUGAUGCGGGGUUAAUCAUGCACAUUCACCUCUCUUAGUGAGGGCGGAGGAAUUGUACUCGAAGCCUGAGACACAUCAGUCUGACUCGAAUUUGCUUCGAUUUGGACUUAGGGCAGAAGUGGUACAACACUUAUGGCUUCUGCGGCUUUUCAUCUCAAUCGUCAGCCAUGAUCUGAAUCCCCAAAUUCUGCACAUCAAGGAUUUGUGUUACUGCUAUACUCUACUCUGGGACAAUCAAACUUGCGAUGUGAAGGCUGAGUCAUUGCUCGCUAGGAUUUGAUCACGGCUCUUACCCUCGUUGGAUCUGAUUGAAAUGGGUACAGGUUGAAACCCCUGUGAUGUCGGCCAAGAUUUUUUCUUAUUCUUCAAUGGCUGAGAGUGUAAACGUAUGCGUGGAACACACAUUUAUUCUCUUCCUUAAGAUUUGAGACUGUGUUCUGCAUUUGAAAUGUUGCAGGUAGGUAUUGUUUCGCAGUAGAUAUUGAUUUUCAACCUUAAGUUAGAUAGACCACUAAUAUGCCGAGAGGUUUCACAUCAACGUUUCAAUUCCUGGGGUGUCUUGUUGGGUGGAUCUGAUUUGGGUUGGUUUAAGUUGGAGACUUCAAGAAGACCUCAAGGAGCAGAUGAAAAAACACCGACAUGAUGAGAACAUCAUGGGGCUCAAUACGGAACAUCAUUCGGAUGUCACCCUACCGAAUUCUUUGGCCUUGGUCCAAAACGUAACUACUUCGAGCAGGUCCCUCGCGUUGCUCUUCAUCUGGAGCAUCUGGGGAUGGUUCGUGCGAAGCAACACUCACCCUCACCCACGAAUGGUAUGGAAGCAGAGCGACCUAACAAUAUCAACCCUAUUUUUGUACAUCUGUUUAAUUAAGGCUACCCUAAUAUUAAUUUAUGGUCCAAAUGAAUCAAACUCGCUCAAAUUAUAUGCUCACUUACAUUUAAAUAUGUUUAUGCACACACACAAAUUGAGCAUAGCCUUAAAAUGUCUCUUGGCUGCUUUCAUGUGAGGCGAGAGCGCGGGCCAUUCCACUGGGACAUUAAAUGAUCCCAGAGAUGUAGUUAUAUGUCACCCGCACAGAACAUUUCAAUUAAUUCCUUGUUGAUUCCUUUUGUUGAUGUUCUCUUUUU